rnacentral:rRNA from 1 species
UACGGGGGGGGGCAAGCGUUUGUUCGGAAUUACUGGGCGUAAAGGGCUCGUAGGCGGCCAACUAAGUCAUACGUGAAAUCCCCAGGCUCAACCUGGGAACUGCGUCUGAUACUGGUUGGCUUGAAUCCGGGAGAGGGAUGCAGAAUUCCAGGUGUAGCGGUGAAAUGCGUAGAUAUCUGGAGGAAUACCGGUGGCGAAGGCGGCAUCCUGGACCGGCAUUGACGCUGAGGAGCGAAAGCCAGGGGAGCAAAGC